ACGCUCGACACCUACGGGGAGGCAGCAGUGAGGAAUAUUGGUCAAUGGACGCAAGUCUGAGCCAGUCAUGCCGCGUGCAGGAUGACGGCUCUAUGAGUUGUAAACUGCUUUUGUACGAGGGUAAACGCAGAUACGUGUAUCUGUCUGAAAGUAUCGUACGAAUAAGGAUCGGCUAACUCCGUGUCAGCAGCCGCGGUAAUCUGAGCGGCUGGCAAGGC
rnacentral:rRNA from 1 species